rnacentral:misc_RNA from 1 species
GGGAGUAUUGCACAAUGGGCGCAAGCCUGAUGCAGCCAUGCCGCGUGUAUGAAGAAGGCCUUCGGGUUGUAAAGUACUUUCAGCGGGGAGGAAGGUGUUGAGGUUAAUAACCUCAGCAAUUGACGUUACCCGCAGAAGAAGCACCGGCUAACUCCGUGCCAGCAGCCGCGGUAAUACGGAGGGUGCAAGCGUUAAUCGGAAUUACUGGGCGUAAAGCGCACGCAGGCGGUCUGUCAAGUCGGAUGUGAAAUCCCCGGGCUCAACCUGGGAACUGCAUUCGAAACUGGCAGGCUAGAGUCUUGUAGAGGGGGGUAGAAUUCCAGGUGUAGCGGUGAAAUGCGUAGAGAUCUGGAGGAAUACCGGUGGCGAAGGCGGCCCCCUGGACAAAGACUGACGCUCAGGUGCGAAAGCGUGGGGAGCAAACAGGA